GGAUGAAAAACAAACCCCAAACUUUUUAGAGACUUACCACUGGUAGGAAAGACCAGAAGAGCAGCUUCUGACCCCUGGGGACCCUCAGUUGUGCCUCUCACAAAGCCAAGGUGUGAAACACCAUGAAAUAGGAGGAAAUUAAAAGCAUUCCUGAUAUUAUCAACACAGGGAGUAUAUUUAGCAUACAAACCCCUUCGGAGGCCGCGGUGACAACAUCCAAGUGUCCAGUCAUCAGAGCACAGGGGAGGUGCUGCCUCUGCCUGAGGAGCAUCACCACCCUGCAGAUGAAAUCAGGCAGGUGCAGCCUCAGAGGAGCCCUCACACCCUGUCAGCCCUCAGAAAUGAUGCUGAUUCAAUUUUAAAUUCAAGUGACACCAGGUUGACACAAAG